UAUUUUGUUUGUAUGGAAAUAGUGUUGGUGGGGUCAAUGCAGCAUUGUAAAAGGGAUACUUGGAUAUGAAGGGAUUACUUGGAUAUGCAGUGAUGGAUUGUAUAAGCGUGAGUCUUAUGGAGGUUAAAGAAAAGGAUUUUGAAGAUUACCGCAAUUACAAAUUUAAAAAUAAAAUAAAAAAUUGUCAUAAAAUAUAAUAUGCAUCUGCAGGAAUAAUCAGUAAUGUUUUUAAUUUUAAAAGUUCGCGCGUUUUAUUUCUUGCAACGUUGCCGCACCCAUCUGAGUCACUCGAAUAGAUUAUUUUUCAUCAUGGCGCGUGUAUAUUUUUGGAGCAACUACAUACAACUACUAACAAUAGCCUAGGAAGCUAUUCUGACUAUAUUAAGAUGAACGUCUGCAUGUGUGUGGGUAUAAACUAUUUUUUGUUGCUCGAUACACUUUGGAACUAAUCAACUGAUUUAAACGUUCAUUGCGGCAAUCAAAAAGGCUCAUAACGACUUAAAGUUAAUUAGAUUUAGACGUCGAUCGGCCGAGUAUACUAUAGUAUCCUGUUAUUUGAAAAAUAAAAAUCAAAAAAAUUUUUUUUUUAGUAUUUUGUUGCAAAACGUAAACUACUCGACCGAUUUGCCUCAAAAUAAAAUCAAAGCUAAGCUUCAAAAUGUCUUUGAGACUGCUGCAAAGGCAAAUCGGUCAAUGAGUUCCAAAAUUAUCGGUGGAAAAAAAUUACUUUUUUUCAGUGAAAUGAUCUUUUACUAUUCGAGGCAUUUUGUAAACUUGACGAGCUCAAAAAUUUAUAAAUAAUAACGUUUUCGAGUCCUAUGAGUCAGAAUCUGCUGGAAGUUAUUAGGAUUGGCACACCCCGGGUCAAAAAAAUAACUUGAUUUUGACUUUUUUCAAGUAUUUGACAUACUUUUUAUUUAAUUCACUAGAUUUUGACUUAGUUAACU